rnacentral:rRNA from 1 species
UCUCUCGGGGAUAGCCUUUCGAAAGAAAGAUUAAUACCCGAUAGCAUAAUGAUUCCGCAUGGUUUCAUUAUUAAAGGAUUCCGGUAAAGGAUGGGGAUGCGUUCCAUUAGGUUGUUGGUGGGGUAACGGCCCACCAAGCCUUCGAUGGAUAGGGGUUCUGAGAGGAAGGUCCCCCACAUUGGAACUGAGACACGGUCCAA